GGGGGACAGGGUUGUCUUUUUUCAUAUUUUCUAUUGAAUAACUUCAAUCCUACGGAUACCAGAUCUUUAUAAAUAAAGUGUUACUAUUAAUCCAUCAUUCUGAAGAAGGUCUGUGAAGGAGCGAAACCAGUCUGGUUAUGAAUCAUUAUCAGGCUCUGUUAAUUAUAUGUUUUGGCAUAUUCUAUAUUUAAUAUACUACAUUUUUAAAGACAGUAGUUCAUAAGAAGAUAAAGCAGUAUGACAUUGCAGUAGAUGAUAUGUUCAUUCAAAUGUAAAACUAUGGCAGUGUUUGCUUUGAAAUUGCUUGACUCAUAUUGUUAUUGGUUUAAUAAGACUUGUUUUAUAUCUAUUGGUGUGUUUAACACUGUUAACAAGGCAUUUACAGAUUGUUUACUGUAUAAGCAACAUUAGAUAGAAAUACAUUUG
rnacentral:lncRNA from 1 species